rnacentral:lncRNA from 1 species
GUGAAGGUGGUCAGGGCAGAGGGCUGCGGUUCCCCUGUACCUUGAUUGGAAUCCUCCAGAAAGCACACAGACCUGCAUCUCUCCUAACCUGCCCAUGGGGACCUCUGCCUUUGCAUGGAGUCUUUCUAAGUCUUUUCCCCAUGGGUUUGGGGAAAGCCCCCUCUCAGGAAGGCUGGAUUUCCAGCUCCACCGCAGGAUGUGGGGUUCCCAUCAAUGGGCCUGGCUGGUGAGGUGGCUGAAGCCACGGGGAAACAGGGCAGGCUGGGUCCUGACCUCAGCCCCUGGAGGGUGAGCUUGAGAGAGUUAAACUCCAGUGUUCUGCUCUCUCGCACUGGAAGUCCUGCACAGCUACCAGUUGCCCAUAACCCAAAAGAGUUUCAUUUCAAACCCAGUGCUCCCUCCAACUCAGGCCUCCUUUCUACUCGCCCAGCCCUUUUUCAGCUUGUGAAGUUAUUAAAAGGGAAACAUUUUUUAUAUUAUAACUUCCAGCUUACACCUAGGACAGCUAAACUAAAGAUCAAAGUAAAGUAAAAAGCAAAUUAGUAGGAUUCUCUCCUCUUUCUGCUCAACACAACCUCAGACCUGCUCAGCUCAGCCCUAGGCAGUAGAGUCUGCUGGGCCUGUGCUUGACCUUUACAGCUCAACUUGGAAAAUGUCACAGUGACACACUCAGCAGCCAGGUGGUCCUGGAAGAUGGUAAUCCAGGGGAGUCCCCAGCAACUACCUGCCAUCUGCCUGUGCCAACAGGAGCCCAGUGGGCAGGACAGAAAUGAGCCGCAGUGGGAAGAGAAUCCACUGAGAUUCAGGAGCUUGGGGAAUCACGGCUAAUACACUCAAAUGACAUUUACUGAGCUGGCACCUUCAAGGGUUCCAGUCUUAUGCUUGGCUUAUCCCUGUCUGGAACUUUCCUACUGAUGAGGGAGACAGAAUGCUCUGUGAUGAGUGUCUGUCACCCUAUCACAGUGCCUGGGAGUAAAUCACGAUUCACCUGUACUAGACAGACACCUCAGCUCCAUGCGGGACGGACCGAUGCUGCUUCCUCUGUCAGAAUCUUAAACACACAAAUGUCACCAUGUUACCUUUAAAACUGUGACCGCCUGUGACUGCGGAUAAGCCCACAGAAGUGGUCCCCACUGCACACACCACGGGCCUGCAGUCAGGCUCUGCCACUGUUUCUACUAUGCCAGAAGUGUUCCGUGAGAUUCAGGAUGAAUUUCCAAGUUUCUUCCACCAAAAACCGGUUCAUGAGAGCCGAAGUAAAGACCUAAUCCCUGUAGUCCUGCCUGUGUACCAGGCGCUGCUCCAAGGCCUGUAGAUAUUAACGUUGGCAAAUGGAGAUAAGGACCUAUAGGUGUCACAAGGGACAAGAGACAGGGCAGGCAGGCAUUCAAACAGAAAGAUGACAGCACUGUCAGAACCAUCACAGAUAACAGAGAUGUGAAGGUCUAAAUAAGAAGUGGGACAGGGGACAAUUCUAAGAUCUCCAGAAACAACUUGCCAGUUCUGGAGCUGGGGGCUUGCAGUUCCUUUGGACACCUCCACUGGGGUCCCACUAGCCACACAGCACUCCGUAAGGCCACAGCUCCACCCAGCUGGGGACACAAGAACAACACUAAAGGGAUCCCAAGGUGGUGCCCAUGCUGGGUUCUGAAGACAGAGCAGGCUCGUCAUGCAGAUGGAAUUUCAUCUGGGCCUGAACAAUCAAGUCUGGAAAGCUGGACAGAAGCAGCUGGACGCCCACCUCGCCUAAUAUGCCACUGCAAGGCUGUGUCCUCUUCCUCUCUGCAAAACUGAGCUUCCCAUGCCUGAAGGUCCCACAGCACCAAGGCCAGGGCUGGCUGGGGACACCACUCCAUAGGAAAAGUACUGGAGAUCCACCUCCUGAUGGUCCACGAGGGGCCUGGCCUUGUCCUCCUGGUCACCACCAUACCCUAGCACAGCACACAGUCUACCCUGGGCCCUCAAUCGACAUCCUGUGAAAGAAGGAAGGGAGGCAGGGAGUGGCAGGAGCACAUGUGACCAAGGCUACAACUGUCUGUGUCCGUGCUGUCCCCUGCCUAGACUGGGCAGGGCACUGCUGAAGCCAGCAAAUUCCCUCCACGUGGUGAACACCCAUAGGCUGCUGAAGGCAGUGCCACCUCCGACAGGGACACACACCUGUACUUACGUCCAUCGUCAGCAGCAACGCAGCUUCUGUGCAGUGUGGCCAUACUUCCUUCCCUGUCAUUGGCCUCUUUCUGGGUGACACAUGAGUGACUUACAGACAAAAGCAGAAACACACUUACCCUCCUAGCUCUCCCACAGAACUUCCUUCUCGGCAAAUUCAAAAAAAAAAAUUCCCUGCCCACAUCCCAUCCACCC